rnacentral:tRNA from 1 species
GCCGGGGUGGCGAAACUGGCAGACGCGCGAGACUUAAAAUCUUGUGACCGCAAGGUCAUCCGGGUUCGAUCCCCGGUCCCGGCA